GCAGCACACUUUCAAGUUGUAGAACUUGUACUAGCACACUUGAAAGAAUUGAAUUCUGAGCCUGUGAAGCCCAAGGGAUACACACAAGGAAUCUGAGGUGGGACCGGCAGCUCCAGCAGCGUUGGUGACUUCAAGGCGUAGACCACAAACUCCAGCUGAGGAGUAUCCACAAGACAUAAGGAGCUUGGAUCCCCAUAGAAUCACACAGAAGAGAACAAUUAUGCCAACCUGAUGACUUCUAUGUGUGGAUUUCUUCUUUCCUAGCUUAUCCUAACUACUACAAAUAGUCAAUAGAAGUAUGUAGAGUAGAACUGAAGACAGAAAACCAAUCAGUCAAUCAACCAACCAACCAACCAACUAACCAACAAAAUACCAAGGUCCUUCUGAAAGGAAAUGCUUGGUCCUUCUUUAUGAGUAAGCCAUAGAAAUAAUAAUUUUCAAAAGGAAAUUUGUUGAUAAAAAGAGAGUAUCAUUUCAGAAAAUUUCUGUUAUUUAUUUAUUUGAUGGAUGAAAUAUUUACAUUCACCAUCUAGGCAGAUGGCUGAUUUCAAAGACAAAAGAAGAGAAAGAUGGAAGCUUUAUUUCCUUCCUAAACAUCUCAAUAUUUGGUCUAAAUAAAGCUAUCUAUAAUUAAGUGCA